UACGUAGGGUGCGAGCGUUGUCCGGAAUUACUGGGCGUAAAGAGCUCGUAGGUGGUUUGUCGCGUUGUCCGUGAAAACUCACAGCUUAACUGUGGGCGUGCGGGCGAUACGGGCAGACUGGAGUACUGCAGGGGAGACUGGAAUUCCCGGUGUAGUGGUGGAAUGCGUAGAUAUCGGGAGGAACACCAGUGGCGAAGGCGGUUACCUGGAGCUUUGCUGACGCUGAUGCGCGAAAGCGUGGGGAGCGAGCCGG
rnacentral:rRNA from 1 species